ACUUUACCACUGAUUCGCACUAAACGCUACGCAUCCAGCUUUAUCAGGCCAACGGCUAAGGAGUGGAAUUCACUUCCUACAAAUCUAUUCCCAGUCCACUAUAACUUGGACCUUUUUAAAUCGAGAGUGAAUAGACAUCUUUUAGGUAAGCAUUUGACCACAAUCUCACCUGAUGGAAAGUGCCGAUGCAGUCUAGGAUGGAACAUGCUUACCUAAAAGAUAUCUAUUCACUCUCGAUUUAAAAAGGUCCAAGUUAUAGUGGACUGGGAAUAGAUUUGCAGGAAGUGAAUUCCAAUCUUUAGCCGUUCGCAUGAUAAAGCUGGAUGCGUAGCGUUUAGUGGGAAUCAGUGGUAAAGUAACGACGUAAGGGUGAAACGCAAAUCCGCGUCUAGUCCCACGGUGGCUGAACGGAGAUGGGGGGAUAAGAUUAUGUAAUCCCAUCGCACACUCCCCGAAAUGUAUCCUGUAGAAUACCGAUAAACAGGCUACCUUUCUACGGUGUUCUAGGCUCUGCAGUCUAGCCUCUACCAAUCUCGCAUCCCCAAUAAGCUUCCUAGCGCGUU